rnacentral:rRNA from 1 species
AGCGAACGCUGGCGGCAGGCCUAACACAUGCAAGUCGAGCGCCCCGCAAGGGGAGCGGCAGACGGGAGAGUAACACGUGGGAACGUACCCUUCAGUUCGGAACAACCCAGGGAAACUUGGGCUAAUACCGGAUACGUCCGUAAGGAGAAAGAUUUAUCGCUGAAGGAUCGGCCCGCGUCUGAUUAGCUAGUUGGUGGGGUAAUGGCCCACCAAGGCGACGAUCAGUAGCUGGUCUGAGAGGAUGAUCAGCCUCACUGGGACUGAGACACGGCCAGACUCCUACGGGAGGCAGCAGUGGGGAAUAUUGGACAAUGGGCGCAAGCCUGAUCCAGCCGUGCCGCGUGGAUGAUGAAGGCCCUAGGGUUGUAAAGUCCUUUCGGCGGGGAAGAUAAUGACGGUACCCGCAGAAGAAGCCCCGGCUAACUUCGUGCCAGCAGCCGCGGUAAUACGAAGGGGGCUAGCGUUGCUCGGAAUCACUGGGCGUAAAGCGCACGUAGGCGGACACUUAA